AGAGUUUGAUCCUGGCUCAGGAUGAACGCCGGCGGUGUGCCUAAUACAUGCAAGUCGUACGCGUUGGCCCAACUGAUUUGAAGUGCUUGCACGGAUCUGACGUUGGUUUACCAACGAGUGGCGGACGGGUGAGUAACACGUAGGUAACCUGCCCAGAAGCGGGGGACAACACUUGGAAACAGGUGCUAAUACCGCAUAACAAUUCAAAUCGCAUGAUUUGAAUUUGAAAGAUGGUUUCGGCUAUCACUUCUGGAUGGACCUGCGGCGCAUUAGCUUGUUGGUGGGGUAACGGCCUACCAAGGCAGUGAUGCGUAGCCGAGUUGAGAGACUGAUCGGCCACAAUGGGACUGAGACACGGCCCAUACUCCUACGGGAGGCAGCAGUAGGGAAUCUUCCACAAUGGGCGCAAGCCUGAUGGAGCAACACCGCGUGAGUGAAGAAGGUUUUCGGAUCGUAAAGCUCUGUUGUUGAAGAAGAACGUGCAUGAGAGUAACUGUUCAUGCAGUGACGGUAUUCAACCAGAAAGUCACGGCUAACUACGUGCCAGCAGCCGCGGUAAUACGUAGGUGGCAAGCGUUAUCCGGAUUUAUUGGGCGUAAAGCGAGCGCAGGCGGUUUCUUAAGUCUGAUGUGAAAGCCUUCGGCUUAACCGAAGAAGUGCAUCGGAAACUGGGGAACUUGAGUGCAGAAGAGGACAGUGGAACUCCAUGUGUAGCGGUGAAAUGCGUAGAUAUAUGGAAGAACACCAGUGGCGAAGGCGGCUGUCUGGCCUGUAACUGACGCUGAGGCUCGAAAGCAUGUGUAGCGAACAGGAUUAGAUACCCUGGUAGUCCAUGCCGUAAACGAUGAAUGCUAGGGUGUUGGAGGGUUUCCGCCCUUCAGUGCCGCAGCUAACGCAUUAAGCAUUCCGCCUGGGGAGUACGACCGCAAGGUUGAAACUCAAAGGAAUUGACGGGGGCCCGCACAAGCGGUGGAGCAUGUGGUUUAAUUCGAAGCAACGCGAAGAACCUUACCAGGUCUUGACAUCCUAUGCCAAUCUGAGAGAUCAGACGUUCCCUUCGGGGACAUAGUGACAGGUGGUGCAUGGUUGUCGUCAGCUCGUGUCGUGAGAUGUUGGGUUAAGUCCCGCAACGAGCGCAACCCUUAUGACUAGUUGCCAGCAUUCAGUUGGGCACUCUAGUAAGACUGCCGGUGACAAACCGGAGGAAGGUGGGGACGACGUCAAAUCAUCAUGCCCCUUAUGACCUGGGCUACACACGUGCUACAAUGGAUGGUACAACGAGUUGCGAACCCGCGAGGGCAAGCUAAUCUCUUAAAGCCAUUCUCAGUCCGGACUGUAGGCUGCAACUCGCCUACACGAAGUCGGAAUCGCUAGUAAUCGCGGAUCAGCAUGCCGCGGUGAAUACGUUCCCGGGCCUUGCACACACCGCCCGUCA
rnacentral:rRNA from 1 species